rnacentral:tRNA from 1 species
GGUCAGGUAGCUCAGUUGGUAGAGCAACGGACUGAAAAUCCGUGUGUCGCCAGUUCAAUCCUGGCCCUGACCA